AGGAUUAUAGUUUAUACAUAAACAUUUGAUUUGCAUUCAAAAAAUAUUGUUAAAUACAAUUUAUCUUA
rnacentral:tRNA from 1 species